GAUGAACGCUGACAGAAUGCUUAACACAUGCAAGUCUACUUGAACUUCGGUUUGGGUGGCGGCCGGGUGAGUAACGCGUAAAGAACUUGCCUCACAGUUAGGGACAACAUUUGGAAACGAAUGCUAAUACCUGAUAUUAUGAUUUUAGGGCAUCCUAAAAUUAUGAAAGCUAUAUGCGCUGUGAGAGAGCUUUGCGUCCCAUUAGCUAGUUGGAGAGGUAACGGCUCACCAAGGCGAUGAUGGGUAGCCGGCCUGAGAGGGUGAACGGCCACAAGGGGACUGAGACACGGCCCUUACUCCUACGGGAGGCAGCAGUGGGGAAUAUUGGACAAUGGACCAAAAGUCUGAUCCAGCAAUUCUGUGUGCACGAUGACGUUUUUCGGAAUGUAAAGUGCUUUCAGUUGGGAAGAAAAAAAUGACGGUACCAACAGAAGAAGUGACGGCUAAAUACGUG
rnacentral:rRNA from 1 species